AUGAGUCAUGUGAUCAGUGACGUGUUGCAGCAGGUGUGAGCAGAAAGAAAAGAGUGACUUCAGGUGAGAGUUGGAGCGUCUCAUCAUCACAACCCUCCUCUGUUGUCUUCAUGCAGCCACAUCUGAUCACACAGGUUUGACUUCAUGAAGACAGAGGCUGGUUUUAGGACAGCAGAGGGCGUCACAGUCACGAACAUGGGAGCUGAAACUAACACAUGACUUCUGGAGAAGAUAUCAGAGUUCAGGAUGCUUCUUGAGUGACAGAUACCCCGCCCCCUUUCUGUGACAUCACCACUAUGUCGUCAUGAUUUCCGGUGAGCACCAGGCGAGUUCAAGACCAGGCAGCCCUGCGCAGCGCUGUUGAUCUGCCUCAAACAUUAAUGGAAUUUCAGUUUCCUCCAUUUCUUCGCAGACGAAGGAGACAAACGCCUCCAGCUCAGCCAAGUCUCGUCUCGUCUACAGGAAGUAGAGAGUGUCAGACUUCUCAGCAGCGUCUGUGUCUCCGCCCCUGCAGUCACCCCCAGAUGUUGUUGCAGAAGUUCAGCUGGAGUUCAGCUGCAACACACCCACUGAGUCUGGAGUCAGCUGAGGACAUGAACACACCCUGUCAGCAGUUCUCACUCUGUGAUUCACUCUCAGCUGUCUGUCUGUAAGCAGCUAAUAAAGGAUCUUUGAGAUGAGCAGUUAAACUCUGAUCUGUUGAAGUCUCCUGACAGCAGACUUUGUUUGUCAGAGUUUCAUCAGACAAAGAGAUUCAGUCAGUUCUGUGUUUCAGAACCGGUCCAAACAGCCGUCAGCAGGUGUGGAACAUGUUCUCUCCUCACAGACUCAGGCCUUGUUACAUACACACGAGGAUUUCUUUACAUUCAGCUGUGAUCUCCAUUCAUGAAGCUGUCAGGGAGGUAAACUGUCUCUAGAAAGCUGUUUUAAAGAGGAUUUAUCUGCUCUGUUGUCUCUCUGCUGUCCUGACAGCUGCUGGAAAAUACACAUCAUCUCAGAAUCAGACCAGAAAUUAAAACCACUUUUAUUUCUUUGAUCCCAGUUUGAAGACAGAAACAUCAGAAACAGUCACAACACACAGUUUGACACUUUUCAUGUUUUAUUCAAACGUUUGUAUAGAAAUGAUGAAGCGCUGCCUGAAAUGACCUGAUCAAGCUGAGAUAAGAUCAGAAUAAACUAAGAAUAAUACAAACAGCUGCAGAAUAAGACACAACAGUUCAACAGCCUCCAAACUGAUUCAUUAAGUCGAAUCUUUGAACAACAAACUGAACAUUAAAACCUUAUAAUUAUAAUAAACUGGACACUGAGUGUAGAGUUCAGUUAGUAACUGACUCUGGAUCAGCACCUCAACAAAUACAAGGAAGCGUAAAAAUCACAAAAUUAAAAUAUUCCCAUGAUAAAUCAUAUUUAUGAGAUAAAAGAAAAAAUUAUGUGAGAAAAACAGAAAAUUACAAAAACAUUGAUCCAUAAUUUUGACCUUUUCUCUCAUAAUUCUUAUUCUGUUAUUAUGUUGAUUUAUUUUACUUCAUUCUCUGAUGAGAAUCUUUAAUUUUUCAUUUACUCAUUUUGAUGUCCAUCCAUCCAUCCAUCAUCUGUACACAUUAUAUGUACGCCGCUUAAUCCUCUGCAGGGUCGCGGAGGGGCUGGAGUCAUUUUGAUGUUUUAUGUCAAAACAUUUAGUUUAUGUCAUGAUUAUGAUUUAACAUGGGAAUAUUUUUUUGGGCCAGAUAACAGUCCAAUAAUACCAAAAACACAAAUAUAAAAAUAUAUAUAAGUGUCACAUUAUAUUAACUGGUAGCUACAAAAUGUUGACAGUGACUGACAGUGUUAACAGCAGCUUCAGUUCAGUGAAGUCUGAUGGUUUUAAAGCACAUGUGGAGCUCAGUCAGGAGCUUUAAGCUCUACAAGCAGUCUGAUAAUAUUUGGUAAAUAGACGCAUUUAUACAUCACUGCUGCCCUCAUUCAUCCAUUCACUCACUCACUCACUCACUCACUCACUCACUCACUCACUCACUCACUCACUCACUCACUCACUCACUCACUCACUCACUCACUCACCGAUGGCAGUCAGCUACCAUGCAAGGUGCUGGUCUGACCAUCAGGAGCAGUUUGGGCUUCAGCCUGUUGCUCAAGGACACUUGGACAUGUGGACGGGAGGAGCCGGGGAUCGAACCAGCGACGUGUGAUUAACUGACCAGCUGCUAGAGACGC